GCACCUGAGGAUGAAAAAAAAUCUUUAAUAUGCAAAUCCAUUAAACCGUUGAUUUUUUUUUCCACACUAUCCAGCACCAGCAUUAUUCACAGGUACUUGUAAGUGUAUGGGAAUGUCUGAAGAACUGACUGACUGCUCCUCUGAGAGACUCUGAACAGAUUCUAUUGCUGCUCUCUACAGAGGUACCUGGUAAUCCUGGAUCUCCUGGAGGCCCCUUUCGACCACGUGUACCAAGCAGAACCGUUGGGUCACCUUUCUCACCUGUUAAGUGAAAUGUAGCCUGGCGUUCCACCCAGUGGCAAUAUAACAAGGUCACAACGUGUAUCUAGGAGAGAGGCAAGAGGCCCUUCGUUGACAUUGACUACAGUUCCUCUGCUAAAAUGAAUUCCAGGCAUUGAGGAACUGACUUUUCAUAUAUGAGAUUGAGCCUCUCUUCUCAGGAGGAAGAUCUAAUGGGAAACCCUGGUUCCCCUUUUUGUCCUUUCUCAAGCCGAAUGGUAAUGCAGCCACUGUCUCCUGGAGGACCUCUUUCACCUUUGAACCAAACAUGGAAUAUUUGAGUAAGCAAUUUCAGGCAAGGACUCAAUGUAUCUGUAUGGAGCAGGGCACAACACCCUAAGCACAGAUGGCCUCUAAGAGACAAAUAACAGUAAUAACAACAGGAAGCUGCAUUGUUACUCCAUGGAUUGGGGAAAGGCAUCCUCCUCCUCCUGCAGUGCAGAUCUUCCACAGUGGCUGAUAAGCUAUAAAAAUGCAAAUGUAAAAAUAUGGCGUAUCUUCACAGUCAGCAUUAUGGAUCCAUGUAAGGACUGUGACCCAGAAUCCACUGAGGCAAGUGACUGGAGCAUCAUGAUUGCUGAAUGAGGCUGCCCUCCCCCAGAUGAACAUGGCGGUAGAGAACCAAGAAAGGCAGUGUGCAUCUGCCUUUUUAUACACACAUAGCAAACUUAUUGCUUCUAGGAAUCAUAGGACUUCCUGUGUGUGUGCAGGCUGCAAAACAUGCUUGCAGUUACUUCAACACUUCCCCAAAAGCAUUGGUUCUUCUGGAUGUGUUGUGCAAUCAUGGAACAGAUGCUCUGACUGUCCAGGAAUUCUAGAGUGUUAAUUGAUGGCUUCUGAAGCUGUGGGCUAAGGAACAGAGACUGAACACUGGUUCUGCCUAUACAGUGUGAUAAUUCCUUCUCCAUGUGUUGUCUCAUAUUUGUUAAUAAUGCCCUCAACUAAAGUAAUAUGCAAAUCAGGGUGGCUCUGCCUCUGCUACUCUUGAGGAUACCCAGAAUCCAUGAAGUUAAAAGUCUCUCCCUAACAUACUUAUGCACCCUAAUAUGUCCCAUUAAGAUCCCAUAAAAGUUAAGUUUGCUAUCUUCUCUAUUUCUCUUCCCGAGAAAGAAUAAUCUGUGCAUUUAUUUUCUUCACUAUCCUAGUCACUUACAUGACUGGGCUAACUUUUAACUGGAUGACUUUUCCAGCUGGAAAUGACACUGACCUUUCACCACCAGGCAACAUUUGAUAGGCAGGUAUCAAAUAGGACAGAUUUGGAAAGAUUUUUCCAAAGGGUUUUGAAACAUUUUUGCUUUCACAUUGAUUUAGGUGGUGAUUAAAUUUUGUAACACAAGUGCUAUUAUUUCUUACAACACCUUGUGCUUUAAAAGAUUAACUUAAUAACCAUAGAAGUUAACAGAACUUUGCCAGCACCAUGUAAAAAAAUUCACAUUACUUACUUUGGGUCCAUGUGGUCCUCUGUAUCCGGUCAUCCCAGGAAGUCCUUUUUGGCCCUAAGUAUACAGGGAAAGCUUCUAAGUAUAUUUUAAUAUGCACAACAUGCCUAUGCGUCAUUUAACUUUUUAAAGUCCUGUUCUGAAUUACAGCUAUUAAAAUGGUACUUUGUUAAGCAUGGGGCCUGUUCCUGUAGGUGUACUAGGCACAGGAAAAUAGGAAAAAUAAAUAUGUACUGACUUUUAUUUCUGUUAACACUGCCUAACCAGCACAGCCACUCUGCAGUGAGACUUUUAUCUUUCACAUCCAGAAAUGUGCUAACUGGAGCUUUGUUUCUACAAACACGCAUGACAGUAGUUAUAUUUUGUUUGUUGCUCUAUCUGGUUUGAUGCAAGUAUUCACUGCAUCUAAGCUUGUGCGGUACAGCCCCAGUGUGAAUGAGAUGUAUGGCUGGCAUGUCACAUUCAGCAGGAACAUAGGGAGUUCAUAAAGGUUCUUGUGGUCCUUCACCUCUCCCCCACAGGUUCAUAGCUGUACAUAAUAACCAUGUGCAUGAUCAAAAGCUAAGAUCCAACAUGUGAAAUUCCUAGUUCCCUGAGUUGAGGCUGAAGGGCUGGCCACGCCAGAUUCAUCUUUUCAUUUGUGUGUGUGAGCAAAUCAGACUUCAGAACUGUAGAGACUCCAAUGCAAGGCUCCAUCAGCUGAGCUCCAGGAGGUCCAAUUAACAGUGGUGACCCUGGUGGCCCAGGAAGUCCAACAUCACCCUGCAGAAGUCAGAGGAACAACAGAAAUAAAUGGUCUGUUCAGGGAGACUUA